rnacentral:rRNA from 1 species
UAAGAAUUUAAAAGUCGAACAGACUUAUUAUUAAGAAUACUGCUUCUUAAAAUUUUCUUAAUUCAACAUCGAGGUCGCAAAAUAUAAUAUAGAUGUGAACUCCCCAUUUAAAUUACGCUGUUAUCCCUAAGGUAACUUAUUCUUGUUGUCCUAUAUAAUAUAAAGAUCAAAAAUUACAUAAACAAUGAAUAUUAAAACUAAAGUUAAUUAUUUAGCGGCCACCCCAGCAAAAUAUAAUUAAAUAUCAAAAAUAUUGCAAAAUAAAAAUUAAUGAAAUAAUAUUAUAUAAAGUUCUAUAGGGUCUUAUCGUCCCAAUAAAUUAAUAAAGCAUUUUGACUUUAAAUUUAAAUUUUAAUUAUUAAAGAAAUAAAACAUAAUUCUCAUACAUCCAUUCAUACAAGCUUUCAAUUAAAAAACUAAUGACUAUGCUACCUUUGCACAGUCAAAAUACUGCAGCCAUUUAGAAAUCUAUUAAACCAUAGGGCAGAAGAUACUUUCCAUAAAUACG